AUGAAUACUUUGGAGCGAAAGUUGGACAAACGUUCGAAGAAAGAUUCCGAAGACAACGCCAUUGUGGGAAAGAGAAUCCGUGUUGCCAAACGUCUGUGGGAGGAUGAGGAUGAGGAUGACCCCCCUACUGCCGUGGCCACAGUCAGUGGAACCAAAGCUGCCAUUCACAAUCAAGGGGCUGAAAUCCUAGCUUCCAUUUCCUUGGAAGAACAAGCAGAAAAUAGUGACAACGAGCUCUCACUUGUGCGUCAAGAAUUGCUAGAAAUAAAAAAAUUCAUCUUUACAGGUAAACGUAUUAUAUUUCCAUUCUGCACACACAAAUACACACACACAGUAAAACUUAAAUACCGGGGGCUUUUAUUUUGUCAGAUCAUAAAACUCGACCUGCCAAUGUUUCUUAUUCAUUGACCAGACUGCUGGCCUGCCAUCCCACACAGUAAAAUUGGCUGGUGUAAAUUGUUUAUAGGGACUUACAUCAUCACAUCAUUAUUUUAAAAGGACUGAUAAGAAGCGUGAUGUUUUCAACAGUUUGUCUCACUAAUACAUAGAUGGGAUAAAUGCAGAGACUGAAUUUCCCUCACAGGAUCAAAAGAGUAUACUUCUAUUCUUAUACUUUUUGGCUACAGUCUUUCACACACGUUUUUCCUGUUGAUGCAGAGAUACCUCAGAUAAAAGAAAUGCUCAACAGAAGCUCCAUGCACCUCGGCAGUCCAGGGUCUCUCCCCAGCCCUUCAAACCCUGUUCAAAUAGUGAGUACUUUUUUAUGCAGUGCUGUUGGAACGUAUGUGAACUGCUUGCAAUCACCUUGUCUUCUAUAUCAGGGUAGCCGCGGGGUCUUAAAAGUCUUAAAAAGGUCUUAAAUGACAUGUUCCUAAAUUAAGGCCUUAAAAAGUCUUAAAUUCCGUUGUCCAAGUCUUUAAUUUUUUAAACGAAGGUCUUAAAUUUCAUUAUACUAGCCUAUUUAUUCAAAGUCAACCAGACUGCAACGCAAGGUGAAAUGGGGGAAACAACAACAACGUGAAAAUUCAACAGGGUUUAGCGUAACGUCAGAGAACGUCUAAUUUCUAGUAUGCGCAAACAAUAGUUUGGGUUUUCGCUAGGGCUGCACGGUUUCAAGUUUUUCAUUAACCGUUAACCGAGGCCCUUAGCGGUUAAUACUCGGUUAACCAUAGUGUGCGCGCCGCAACCCCGGACAUGUCCCCACCACUAUUUUCUAAGGUAGAUUUUGUUCCCACCACUUUUGAAACAUCUCGCGGCACGAAUACCAAUACAAAUAAACAAAACAUCUCCAGUUAACUAGCA
ensembl:lncRNA